rnacentral:lncRNA from 1 species
UUACACUGAAGUUCCUCAAACACCAUUAUGCACAGCUUCAAUAAUGGCAGAAGAUGCUGAAAUGCUAACCGAAGCAAAAGAUGAAAUGACCCUAGCGCUUCAAGAAAUGAGGCUUCCACUUGAUGAACAGAUUAAAUUAAAAGAAGUACAAGUCUCCUCAAAUCCUUUGUUAAACAGAAGAAAGAAGAAAGUCAACAAUGUUUGAAGCAAGUUUCAGAAUUUAUUUCUGCACGUGAAAAGGAAAAUUUGCAAAGAAGAAUUUGCAGUGAUUUCAGCUUUUAUUUCUUUAUGCUAAAGUAGGUUUUGCUUAAGUUUGACGUUCGAAAAAAUUUAACGUCAAUAUAUUUCGUGAGUUUUAAAAAAGUGAUUUAUUCAUUUCAAAAUGAUUUUGAAAUAUUUUAGUUUAACUUCUUUAAAACUUAAGUUUCAUUUUUAGCUGUUGAUAAAAAUAGCUGUUCCAUUUUUUUAAAAGGUAAUUUUUAUUUUUUUAAUCCAGUGUUCAUUUUUAUGGGAGUUCUCCUGCUUUUGAGAAAUUCUUAAUAUUGUACAAAUAUUUUUAUAUGUUUAUAUUUCUCUGGUAAUAAUUUUCUCUGUAGUGUUUCAGCUAUUUUGAAACAAUAGAUUUUCUUAACUUUUUAAUCAAAAUUUUAUUUUGUCUACUUUUGUGAGAAUUUUUUACCAAAUGUUAUAUAAAGGUUUAUAUUUUUUUCGGAGAUGAUAAUAGAUUUCCGCUGAUAGUUUCCA